GGGGAAUAUUGCACAAUGGGGGAAACCCUGAUGCAGCGACGCCGCGUGAGUGAAGAAGUAUUUCGGUAUGUAAAGCUCUAUCAGCAGGGAAGAAAAUGACGGUACCUGACUAAGAAGCCCCGGCUAACUACGUGCCAGCAGCCGCGGUAAUACGUAGGUGGCAAGCGUUGUCCGGAAUUAUUGGGCGUAAAGAGCAUGUAGGCGGCCUAUUAAGUCGGGCGUGAAAAUGCGGGGCUCAACCCCGUAUGGCGCCCGAUACUGGUGGGCUUGAGUGCAGGAGAGGAAAGGGGAAUUCCUAGUGUAGCGGUGAAAUGCGUAGAUAUUAGGAAGAACACCAGUGGCGAAGGCGGUCUACUGGGCACCAACUGACGCUGAGGCUCGAAAGCAUGGGUAGCAAACAGGAUUAGAUACCCUGGUAGUCCAUGCCGUAAACGAUGAUUACUAGGUGUUGGGGGAUUGACCCCCUCAGUGCCGCAGUUAACACAAUAAGUAAUCCACCUGGGGAGUACGACCGCAAGGUUGAAACUCAAAGGAAUUGACGGGGGCCCGCACAAGCAGUGGAGUAUGUGGUUUAAUUCGAAGCAACGCGAAGAACCUUACCAGGUCUUGACAUCCGAUGACCGGCCCGUAACGGGGCCUUCUCUUCGGAGCAUUGGAGACAGGUGGUGCAUGGUUGUCGUCAGCUCGUGUCGUGAGAUGUUGGGUUAAGUCCCGCAACGAGCGCAACCCUUAUCCUCAGUAGCCAGCAGGUAAAGCUGGGCACUCUGUGGAGACUGCCAGGGAUAACCUGGAGGAAGGUGGGGAUGACGUCAAAUCAUCAUGCCCCUUAUGAUCUGGGCUACACACGUGCUACAAUGGCGUAAACAAAGGGAGGCAAAGCCGCGAGGUGGAGCAAAUCCCAAAAAUAACGUCUCAGUUCGGACUGCAGUCUGCAACUCGACUGCACGAAGCUGGAAUCGCUAGUAAUCGCGAAUCAGAAUGUCGCGGUGAAUACGUUCCCG
rnacentral:rRNA from 1 species